AAAAAAUAAAAUAAACGUCACUUCCGCCCGGACCGGAAGUCACUCCCUUGCUUCACCAUGGUUCCUCCUGUCGCAGUUUCGCCGCUCAUCAAGACGGCCAGGUGGUCUGCUCUGUUCCUCGGCGUGUUCUAUGGCAAACAGAGGUUUGAUUAUCUAAAGCCCAUUGCUGCGGAGGAGAGGAAGGUUGUGGAAGCAGAGAAGAAGGCCAGAGAGGAACAGGAGCGCAUCUACAAAGAACUGGCUGAAGCCAAUUCUGACACCAUCCUAAAAUGAACAAUCUCUGGUCCUGUGCUGUUAUGUUCCACACUCAAUAAACACAGAAAUUAUUUUUCAUGUAAUAAUCUAAUAA